rnacentral:tRNA from 1 species
AGUGCCUGAAUAAAGGGCUAUUUUGAUAGAAUAGAUCAAGUAUAAAUUAUACCUU